rnacentral:sRNA from 1 species
ACUUGUAAUUAUUUAAUCCACACACGUAUCGACACAAGCUAUCAAGGGUGCUUAAGUUUAGUACAACGCUUAAAACUUGAGUCAGUGGUUUGGGAUACGUGGAGGCCUAAC